CUUAAAUUCCGCGUAAACAUCUCCAGUUCCAUCAAACCACAUCCAGAUCUUCAGAGAUCUCUCUCUCUCACACACACCACACACACACACACACAUCAGGACUCGGUGGGUAUGUUAGUGCAUGUGGGCGGACGUCGUGUCACGUCAGAAAUAUGGAACGAUUGACUAAUGAUAGGAAUUUCCAGUGAGUCAGAUUCGACAAUAAGAGACAAUGAGAGUCGAAUCUUUUGAUUUGUUUCGUGAAACCGUUCUCUUGCGUAUGUUUGGGGCUCGUUCGCAGAACAUGUUGCCGAUGCUUAGAACGUUCACGCAUUCAUUGACCCUUUCUUUUUCUCCCCCCAGACACUGGACAUCGAUCCUUUUAAUUGAGAACAUGUGGAGAAGCUGGAGGACAAGAACCAGAACUCCAUCUGUUGCAUGUUACAAACACACACACACACACACAUACACACACACGCACAAAUACUUUCUAGAACUAUUGAUUUACACCAAGAAGCUGGAGGUGCUUUUAAUAAGGCCCAAAAGUCCCUGGAUUUCUUACAGUAAUUGGCCGUAGAGGAACAAGACGAUGUAACCCAUGGCAACCCAGCGGAGAACGGCGUCAUUCACCUUAAAAUCAGAAACAGCAGAGGAGCAGGAGGAGAGAGAAAGAGAAAGAACUUCCAGAUUUCAGUCGAAGAUCACAGGCUCAGUAGGGAUUAAAGCACAGAUGAGAACAUGUUCUUUUUUCUAAAAA
ensembl:lncRNA